UACGGAGGGGGCGAGCGUUGUUCGGAUUUACUGGGCGUAAAGGGUGUGUAGGCGGCAUAUCAAGUCAGUUGUUUAAUUUUGCAGCCUAACUGCAAGUCUGCAAUUGAUACUGAUUGUGCUAGAGGUUGGAAGAGAGAAGUGGAAUUCUCGGAGUAGCGGUUAAAUGCGUAGAUCUCGAGAGGAACACCAGUGGCGAAGGCGGCUUCUUGGUCCAAAUCUGACGCUGAUACACGAAAGCGUGGGGAGCAAACAGG
rnacentral:rRNA from 1 species